UGGCGGCGUGCCUAACACAUGCAAGUCGCACGAGAAAGGGGCUUCGGCUCUGGAGUAAAGUGGCGCACGGGUGAGUAACACGUGAAUUAUCUACCUCCGAGUGGGGAAUAACUGAGAGAAAUCUUAGCUAAUACCGCAUAACACUUACGAGUCAAAGCAGCAAUGCGCUUGGAGAGGAGUUCGCGGCCGAUUAGUUAGUUGGCGGGGUAAUGGCCCACCAAGACGAUGAUCGGUAUCCGGCCUGAGAGGGCGCACGGACACACUGGAACUGAAACACGGUCCAGACUCCUACGGGAGGCAGCAGUGGGGAAUUUUGCGCAAUGGGGGAAACCCUGACGCAGCAACGCCGCGUGGAGGAUGAAAUAUCUUGGUAUGUAAACUCCUUUCGAUGGGGAAGAUUAUGACGGUACCCAUAGAAGAAGCCCCGGCUAACUUCGUGCCAGCAGCCGCGGUAAUACGAGGGGGGCAAGCGUUGUUCGGAUUUAUUGGGCGUAAAGGGUGCGUAGGCGGUUUGGCAAG
rnacentral:rRNA from 1 species